rnacentral:rRNA from 1 species
GCCAGACUCCUACGGGAGGCAGCAGUGGGGAAUAUUGCACAAUGGGGGAAACCCUGAUGCAGCGACGCCGCGUGAGUGAAGAAGUAUUUCGGUACGUAAAGCUCUAUCAGCAGGGAAGAAAAUGACGGUACCUGAUUAAGAAGCCCCGGCUAACUACGUGCCAGCAGCCGCGGUAAUACGUAGGGGGCAAGCGUUAUCCGGAUUUACUGGGUGUAAAGGGAGCGUAGACGGCCAUGCAAGCCUGGAGUGAAAGCCCGGGGCCCAACCCCGGGACUGCUCUUGGAACUGCGUGGCUGGAGUGCAGGAGGGGCAGGCGGAAUUCCUGGUGUAGCGGUGAAAUGCGUAGAUAUCAGGAGGAACACCGGUGGCGAAGGCGGCCUGCUGGACUGCAACUGACGUUGAGGCCCGAAAGCGUGGGGAGCAAACAGGAUUAGAUACCCCGGUAC